CGUAGGUGGCGAGCGUUAUCCGGAAUUAUUGGGCGUAAGAGCGCGCAGGUGGUUGAUUAAGUCUGAUGUGAAGCCCACGGCUUAACCGUGGAGGUCAUUGGAACUGGUCGACUUGAGUGCAGAAGAGGGAAGUGGAAUUCCAUGUGUAGCGGUGAAAUGCGUAGAGAUAUGGAGGAACACCAGUGGCGAAGGCGGCUUCCUGGUCUGUAACUGACACUGAGGCGCGAAAGCGUGGGAGCAAACAGGAUU
rnacentral:rRNA from 1 species